GAGAGAGCUUCCUUGAGUCCAUUCACAGGUCGUGAUAUGAUCCAAUUAGCUUCCGACUCAUUCAUCCAAAUACCGAGUCACCAAACUUCGAACUAGACUCGUUAAAUGAAUGAAUGAUGCGGUAGACAAAUUGGAUCAUUGAUUCUCUUUGAUUGGACUGAAGGGAGCUCCCUU
rnacentral:pre_miRNA from 1 species